rnacentral:ncRNA from 1 species
UUAACGGAGAGUUUGAUCCUGGCUCAGGACGAACGCGUGGCGGCGUGCUUAACACAUGCAAGUCGAACGGAGGAUGCGGGGAAAGCUUGCUUUCCUGCAAACUUAGUGGCGGACGGGGUGAGUAACGCGUGGAUAACCUGCCUGUAAGACUGGGAUAACACUGGGAAACCGGUGCUAAUACCGGAUAUACUGUAGAGUAGGCAUAUACUUUACAGGUAAAAGAUUAACCUCUGCUUACAGAUGGAUCCGCGUCCCA